GGGUGAAACAAUCAACACUGCCCACGAAACGAAUAGAGAGCACAGCCACUCUCAGGUGGGAACAAAGGCAACCGCUCUUUCCCAGAGGGAGCGUCCUCUCCCCGCCUGGAUGCCCUCGGGAUCCUCCCCCACCUGGCACUUCAAUACCCUUCUGCUUUCCAACAGGAAACACGUUCAAGCCUCCAGCCGCCACCACACACCUCGAAGCCAAACGGACAUUCACCAGCCAGGGGACUGGGCAUUUAGAGCAACGUCCUUCGGUGGGUCCGUGAACUCGGCGGCUUACUCCACAAAUAAGCCUGAGGCCACGGAGGCCACUUGGGCCAAGCAGCCCUGGGUCCUGUGGCCGCAGAGUGGCCCUGAACCUGGCCAGCCGAUGCCUGCCACCAGAAGAGAGAUCUGAAAUGGGCGACAGGAGUGCUGAGGCAGAAAGAGCCACUCCAAACUGUAAAAUUGGGAUGGAUUCAUAACUCAUCACGCUAACAGCUCCCCGUGAGCGUGCAUGCAGGCACACGCACCAAGCGCUGGGCUCGGUGUCUCAGACGCCUCGGCUUGAUUCCUUCAAACAACUCCACGGUGGCAUUGGGGUUACUUCUAAGACCGACUGCCUCUUCAUCCUGCCUGCAGCUGCUUCUUUCGUUGUUCUGAGUUUGUAUAUUUUGAUCUUCUUGAGUAUCCCAGGUAAUUACGCAUUCUCCACAGGGAUGUGUUUGAAUAAUCAUGUCUUUUUCACACACGGCUUCAUGAGAAUGUUGAGUCUUUUCUACUGUAAUUGCUUACAAUUCAAGCUUGAAAUGCAGUCGUUUUCCAGCCAUCAUUAGGGAGUGAGCACGGUGUAACGAUCGAGAGUAUGGCUCUGAGGCCAUGUGGUGCUGCCAAGUAAGUGGCCUUCUGUUAAAUGGGGCGCAAUAGCCCUGAUCUCAGAGGGUGGUAGUGAGAAAUGGAAGAAUUAAUGUUUAUAA